AACGCGAAGAACCUUACCAGGUCUUGACAUACUCGUGCUAUUCCUAGAGAUAGGAAGUUCCUUCGGGACACGGGAUACAGGUGGUGCAUGGUUGUCGUCAGCUCGUGUCGUGAGAUGUUGGGUUAAGUCCCGCAACGAGCGCAACCCCUAUUGUUAGUUGCCAUCAUUAAGUUGGGCACUCUAACGAGACUGCCGGUGAUAAACCGGAGGAAGGUGGGGAUGACGUCAAAUCAUCAUGCCCCUUAUGACCUGGGCUACACACGUGCUACAAUGGAUGGUACAACGAGUCGCGAGACAGUGAUGUUUAGCUAAUCUCUUAAAACCAUUCUCAGUUCGGAUUGUAGGCUGCAACUCGCCUACAUGAAGUCGGAAUCGCUAGUAAUCGCGGAUCAGCACGCCGCGGUGAAUACGUUCCCGGGCCUUGUACACACCGCGCAUA
rnacentral:rRNA from 1 species